rnacentral:rRNA from 1 species
GGAUGGGCAUGCGGCGCAUUAGCUAGUCGGCGGGGUAACGGCCCACCGAGGCGACGAUGCGUAGGGGUUCUGAGAGGAAGGUCCCCCACACUGGUACUGAGACACGGACCAGACUCCUACGGGAGGCAGCAGUGAGGAAUAUUGGUCAAUGGGCGGGAGCCUGAACCAGCCAAGUCGCGUGAGGGAAGACGGUCCUAUGGAUUGUAAACCUCUUUUGCCGGGGAGCAACGGGGUCCUUGCGAGGGCCUGAUGAGAGUACCCGGAGAAAAAGCAUCGGCUAACUCCGUGCCAGCAGCCGCGGUAAUACGGAGGAUGCGAGCGUUAUCCGGAUUUAUUGGGUUUAAAGGGUGCGUAGGCGGGCUGUUAAGUCAGCGGUCAAAUGUCGGGGCUCAACCCCGGCCUGCCGUUGAAACUGGUGGCCUCGAGUGGGCGAGAAGUAUGCGGAAUGCGUGGUGUAGCGGUGAAAUGCAUAGAUAUCACGCAGAACUCCGAUUGCGAAGGCAGCAUACCGGCGCCCGACUGACGCUGAGGCACGAAAGCGUGGGUAUCGAACAGGAUUAGAUACCCUGGUAGUCCACGCAGUAAACGAUGAAUGCUAGCUGUCCGGGGCUUCGGUCCUGG